rnacentral:misc_RNA from 1 species
GUUGGCUUUGGUUAACACACGUGUUAGAGAGACUAUUGGUGUUUUCAUUACUUUUUCAUAUUGUUUUUAGUAUAAAUAGUUAAGUUUUUGGUUUUAGUGGUUUUACUAACACAUCUAGUUUCGGUUGUGGUUUAACAACAAAAGCCUGACUAUUUUUUUUUCUCUGUCUGCAAUAAUCAAUAUAGCUUAUAAUCUCAACCACACUGAUCAUUCUCCUUCGUGUCUUUUCUAUCCCACGUGACAUUGGCGAAAUCGACAGUGCCUCUGGCACAACUGAAAGCCAUUAAGCCCAAG